AUUGAACGCUGGCGGCAUGCCUAACACAUGCAAGUCGAACGAGUGGCGGACGGGUGAGUAAUGUCUGGGAAACUUCCCGAUGGAGGGGGAUAACUACUGGAAACGGUAGCUAAUACCGCAUACCAUCGGAUGUGCCCAGAUUGGAUUAGCUAGUAGGUGGGGUAAAGGCUCACCUAGGCGACGAUCCCUACCUGGUCUGAGAGGCUGACCAGCCACACUGGAACUGAGACACGGUCCAGAGUCCUACGGGAGGCAGCAGUGGGGAAGAUUGGACAAUGGGCGCAAGCCUGAUGCAGCCAUGCCGCGUGUAUGAAGAAGGCCUUCGGGUUGUAAAGUACUUUCAGCGGGGAGGCGUUACCCGCAGAAGAAGCACCGGCUAACUCCGUGCCAGCAGCCGCGGUAAUAC
rnacentral:rRNA from 1 species